CGUACUUACAGAAAGCCACGCUACUACGUGCCAGCAAGCGCGGUAAUACGUAAGGUGCCAGCGUGUUCCGAAUAAUGGGCGGUAAAAGGGCGUCGCCAGGCGGUUUUCUUAAGUUUGAUGUUGAAAGCCCCCCGCUUCACCGGGGAAGGGUCCAUUGAAACUGGGGACCUUAAUUGCAGAAGGGGAGAAUGGGAUUUCAACUGGAACCGUUAAAUUCCGAGAGAAGGGGAAGAACCCCAAUUGCGGAAGGCCAAUUUUUGGUCCUGUACUUACGGUGAAGCAGCGAAAGCCUUGGGAAGCGACCAGAAUAGGUUACCUGGUUAUUCCAGCCGUUAACGAUGAAUUGUAAGUGUUAGGGGGUUUUCGCCCCUUAAUGCUGCAGGCAACGCCUUUAACCAUUCGCCUGGGGAAUACCGUUGGCAGGAUGAAAAUUCAAGGAAAUGGCGGGGGCCCGCAACAACCGUUGAACCUGGUGUUUAAUUUGGAACAAACGGGAGGACCUUACCCAGUUUUGACAUCCUUUGACCAUCCCAAAAAUAAGGCGUUCCCUUUGGGGGCAAAAUGACCGGUGGUUCCUGGUUGGUGUCAACUCGUGUUCUGAGAUGGUGGGUUAAAUCCCGCAACGAACGCCACCCCUGAUUUUAGUUGCCAACCUUCAAUUGGGCCAUUUAAAGUGAACGCCGGUGGCCAACCGGAGGAAGGGGGGGAAGGAGUCAAAUUCUCCUUCCCCUUAUGACCUUGGGUACCCCACUGGUACCAAGGGCAGAACCAAGGGGAAGGAAACCCGGAGGGUAAACCCAUUCCCCAAAUUUGUUUUCAAUUUGGAUUGCCGUUUGCAAAUUGGAUGCGUGAAACCGGGAACGGUUGUAAACGCGGAUCAACCUGGCGCGGUGAAUACGUUCCCGGGCCUUGGUCCCCCCCCCCGUCCCCCCCCGAGAAUUUGUAACCCCCGAAGUCGGUUAAGUAACCUUUAGGAGCCAGCCGCCGAAGGGACAGGAGU
rnacentral:rRNA from 1 species